AUGGAUUCAGCUCACUGAUGCAUUUUCAUCAAAAAUAUAACAUAUAAAUAAAUAUAUACAAUACACCCGUGACAAGCUCCUGUCUUAGACAUUAGCGCAAGCCCCUUUGUGCUAUGAAGAUGAAGCAGCACAAACAAACAAAAUAACAAAGAGAAGUAUUUUUCAUUUUCAACACAAAGACUUUGCUGCUGAAAACCACAACUGCUCAUCAGAAUGAAAAGCAAAAAAAUUCUGCUUAGCAACACGCUUAGGCAGAAUCGCAGCAGGUUCACACACUGGGUAAGGCAGAGGUGCAUGGUAUAAAGUUCAAGCAGUCACCGGCAAGAUCCUGAUAACAAAUCUCGUACAAACUCUCUAACUCUUGAUAUAGAUCCUGGGCAAACAAUGGUCAUCGAGUAAGACAAGAACGAGCUGCAAAUUACAAUAUACAACAUUCAGAACUGGGUUUUUUUAAGAACGAGAAAAUUUUAGCAGAGGAGGAAAGGGAGAUGUGCAACUGACCUUCUGCGUGCGAUGUAACUCCCCCGUAUAUGCUCGCGGAACCAAAGGCCCACUGCAUGCAUCCAAUAAGUUUAACCGAUGGAAAACAUUUUAUGAGGAAACAAAGGCUUUUCAUAUCAGCAUCUCAGCAAAUGUUCAUCCAGUGCUCCAAAAAAAUGUCAAUGGCAGAUCUAUAUUGCAUUUUGGGGUGAACAAAAAUCCAAAAUAGAGUAACAAUAUACGUCUAUGUUACUAUUGAUAGAAAAUUUAUAAAUUUGACAAAAAAUGGAACUACAAUAAAAAGAACAGGUGCAUAGUGCGUUUCAAUCUUGACCAGAAAAUAUAUAAUCAAAGAAGAUGAAACCAGAGACUCUAUACAAAUUACCGAUGUUACAGAACCAUCAACCAUAAAACAUUUGCAUGUCACAGCUCCCAGUUCAAUCAAAUUCAUGUUAGAACUGUAAGCAUGUUUUUGUUACAACCUGUCAACAUAUCAAGCAACUCGUUCCUUUUCUUCGGUUUUUAAUAAGCACAAAUCAUGAACUCUGCACCUCACCUUUUGUGAAGAGAAGGAUCCACAGAGCUCUAGAGCUCUAUACAUUCUUGUUGCGACGUAAUAUAAGUCUGUACUAACAUAAUCAAAAAUCUCAGCCACAGUGUUAUGUCAUCAGCGGCAACGGCUUUUCUUUGCAGGCUUGUGCUCAUUGCAAAUCCAUAAUAUAGCAGGCAAUUGAAACAAUCCAUGAUUAGCUUCUAAAUCCAUAAUUUCGAUGGGAAAAACCGGGAACAAAAAGCUACAAACUUUAUCCAUCUUUGCCUUUCGCCAAACACAGAGGUACUGCAGGGCAUAUAUAGAUUAGUGCAAUAAAACUUGUACUCUCUCUGUAUUAGUUUGUUUCUUGCAUCAAUUUGUUAAACAAACUGGGUUGCAGCAGUGCGUCAAUAAGAGUCAUUAUACAUGACACAAUGGCAAACACAGCAGCAUUUAAAGCAUGGCUCGCAAAAUUCAGGGAUAUGCAUAGAAAAUAGGAAUAAGUAAAAAACCAAACCUGCAUUAGCACAUCAUUCUGACUGCAGAGCACGAUACCAAGUAGAUGAGCACCCUUGAGGCCAGGACAGGGCGAGGAUCCUCCCAGGCUCAAAAUGAGGGUGCAUACCGGCACCUCCAGGAGCAUGUCCGUGCAGCCACCGCUCCAUCCACUUGCAACUGGUCGGGUCAACGCAGUCGCCGCUCCAUCCCCUCUCGCAAACGCUCGGGGAUCUCUGUCCUUUUUCCCACAAUACAUUUCCAUCUCCCUGGUGACGCUCCCCUGCCUGCCGCGCCCCAACUCGUUGUUUU
rnacentral:lncRNA from 1 species